rnacentral:tRNA from 1 species
ACCUGGCUGGCUCAGUGAGUAGAGCAUGUGACUCUUGAUCUCAAGGUCAUGAGUUCAAGCCUCAUGUUGGGCA